rnacentral:rRNA from 1 species
UACGUAGGUGGCAAGCGUUGUCCGGAUUUACUGGGCGUAAAGGAUGCGUAGGCGGACAUUUAAGUCAGAUGUGAAAUACCCGAGCUUAACUUGGGUGCUGCAUUUGAAACUGGGUGUCUAGAGUGCAGGAGAGGUAAGUGGAAUUCCUAGUGUAGCGGUGAAAUGCGUAGAGAUUAGGAAGAAACACCAGUGGCGAAGGCGACUUACUGGACUGUAACUGACGCUGAGGCAUGAAAAGCGUGGGGGGAGCAAAACAGG